UGUGAUGCAGUGCUUAUAAAACAUUCCUCAUACUGACAGGAGAACCCUGUGAAUGACUCCUAUACACCCAUAGAAUCUGAGCACCA
rfam:Triticum aestivum genome assembly, contig: Triticum_aestivum_CS42_TGACv1_scaffold_049609_1BS